GGGCGGUUAGCUCAGCGGUAGAGCAUUGCUUUCACACGGCAAGGGUCACAGGUUCAAGCCCUGUACCGCCCA
rnacentral:tRNA from 1 species